ACUCGACUUCAUCAGCUCUGUGGC
rnacentral:siRNA from 1 species